rnacentral:rRNA from 1 species
CCUACGGGUGGCAGCAGUGGGGAAUAUUGGACAAUGGGGGGAACCCUGAUCCAGCCAUGCCGCGUGUGUGAAGAAGGCCCUCGGGUUGUAAAGCACUUUCAGUGAGGAAGAACGCCUGGUGGUUAAUACCCAUCAGGAAAGACAUCACUCACAGAAGAAGCACCGGCUAACUCCGUGCCAGCAGCCGCGGUAAUACGGAGGGUGCGAGCGUUAAUCGGAAUUACUGGGCGUAAAGCGCGCGUAGGUGGCUUGAUAAGCCGGUUGUGAAAGCCCCGGGCUCAACCUGGGAACGGCAUCCGGAACUGUCAAGCUAGAGUGCAGGUGAGGAAGGUAGAAUUCCCGGUGUAGCGGUGAAAUGCGUAGAGAUCGGGAGGAAUACCAGUGGCGAAGGCGGCCUUCUGGACUGACACUGACACUGAGGUGCGAAAGCGUGGGUAGCAAACAGGAUUAGAUACCCCUGUAGUC